UACGAAGGGGGCUAGCGUUGUUCGGAAUUACUGGGCGUAAAGCGUGCGCAGGUGGCCUUCCAAGUCAGGGGUGAAAGCCCAGAGCUCAACUCUGGAAUUGCCUUUGAGACUGUGAGGCUUGAGUACGGGAGAGGUGAGUGGAAUUCCCAGUGUAGAGGUGAAAUUCGUAGAUAUUGGGAAGAACACCGGUGGCGAAGGCGGCUCACUGGCCCGAAACUGACGCUCAUGCACGACAGCGUGGGGAUCAAACAGG
rnacentral:rRNA from 1 species